GGACUUGGGGCUAUGGGAUAGCAUGGAUGGGGCACAAUAUCAUCUCCUUGUGGCGUGAGGACAUGAUGUGGGCCCCAAUAGUUGGCAUUCCUCUCUUUUUCUUAUGAAAUAAAGAUUAAUUAAUAGAUCUUAAGGCAUUAAAAGGAGUCCUAAUGAGAUUAGGAAUUCUCUUUAAAUAAAGAUGUGGAAGUUUAGCUAGGACUUAAAUCAAAAGCCUAUAUAAAGGGGUCACCCCUUGACCUUCAGGAG
rnacentral:lncRNA from 1 species